GCUCUUUCCCAUCUUGCAAGAUGGCAGGUGAAAAAGUUGAGAAGCCAGAUACUAAAGAGAAGAAACCCGAAGCCAAGAAGGUUGAUGCUGGUGGCAAGGUGAAAAAGGGUAACCUCAAAGCUAAAAAGCCCAAGAAGGGGAAGCCCCAUUGCAGCCGCAACCCUGUCCUUGUCAGAGGAAUUGGCAGGUAUUCCCGAUCUGCCAUGUAUUCCAGAAAGGCCAUGUAGAAGAGGAAGUACUCAGCCGCUAAAUCCAAGGUUGAAAAGAAAA
ensembl:lncRNA novel transcript